UGAGUUUCUUGCAAUCACAUAAAAUAGAUCAUACUAGAUCAAUCGAGAAAUCAUCUAGAUUCUAGAGAAUCAUAUCUCAAGUUCAUGUUAUCAUUGUCUUUUUUCCUUUGUCUACCAUUAUUCCCCCAUUCACAUUGAUUCUUUUACGUUUAGAUCGAUGUUCGUUUGAUUUUUUCGAGGAUUAUUCCUCCUCCUCAAAAAGAUCAGCGCAUCUGUCUCUCUGCCUUGUCUCCUCUUUCACUUUAUGAUCUAAAUCAUUCCUUCUAACAUUUUCGAAGAAGAGUUGUGUCUGAAUCGUUCAGAUUGUGGGAGACCAUUUUGUUCUUCUUAGAUCAUUUCUUUCCAUCCCUUUUUCUGUUCUCUUUCAUCAUAUCAUUUAUGGCGAUUGGCGAAGAAAAUUAGCAAGGAAAAUUUCAAUGGCAAUGACAAAGAUGGUGAUUUACGAAGAAGUGAGAUACACUGAAAAUGACAAAAUCUGAGGCAAAUUUGGGUUUGUUUCUUGAUAGAGUUAUUACCGAUAAAGUAGCUUUUCUAGAGAACACCCGUCGACAGUUGAAGGCCUUCUUAACAAAAGACUCAUUGAAAGACAUUGGAGAUGAAGCGGAAGAGAGCAUUAAUGAUAUGAAUGAUACUGAAAGGGUUGAUGAUUGAAGAAAGAAUGAUAUAUAUGAUCAUCAAAGUCCUAGACAUUUGGCUUCGAGAAAAUGAUGAUGAAAUCAGGAUUUGGGUAAGAUUAGAGUCGUAGAGAAUACAAUUAUGGUUUUAUUUUUAAAUUUUAUUUAUUUAUACUAUAUUUAUCAGAAUAUAUAAUAUUAUAACCAAAAUUCAUUUUAUAUGUCAAUUCAAAGUUAAAACAUUAAUUGAAAGAAUGUCAAUACUCUAAAUCUUUGUGUUUUAAUUUUUCCAAUUCUUUUUCUUGAUUUUAUAAAUUCUAUUUGAGUUUUUUUGUAUAUUGCUUGUUUUCUUAAAUAAAUUGGAUUUUAUAAACAUUGUAUAAAAAAUCAUAUAUAUUGGAUUCUAUUGGAUUUUGUAUAUUACUUGAACAGAGCAGUGAGCAGAUGAUUAAACUUAAAAACGAAAUCAAAAAAAUAAUUUUCUCAAAAGCUUGAAAAGUCAUAACCCUCCCAAAUAAAAUAAUCUUUUCUUCUUCAUUCAGACUUCAGAGAUUCCAAAAUCCCUUCUCCUUCCUUUCAUUGAAAACACUCGGACUGCCAACUCUCCCACCACAGACGCCCCCUUCUCUUUUGCGGUUUAUCUUGUUU
rnacentral:lncRNA from 1 species